UGAAAGAUCAAAGCUCUGUCAAAGUAAGUGUAGUACAGGCCAGGAAUAGAAACCCUUUGCAAAAAAGAACAGCUCAAAUUCAUGUGACAGCCAGGAUAUGUCUAGUGGGUAAAGCACAUCACUGUUGUGGGGGCAGGCAAAUACCAUAAAAUAAGCAAUUAUUUGAGAAAGAUACGUCAUUUCUCCAAGAAAAAUGCCUGAAGUCCUGGGAAGACCAAGCUGCUCUCCCCCAUCUGCAAGUUCUAAAAUACAUGUGGUCCCAGGAAGGCUCUUUUUUCUUUGUUGGACUGUGACACAUAUUUUGAGUGCUAUAAAGCAAUACUGGUUUCAGGCCAGAGCUACUUCUCCACUUUCUCACUUUUUUCCAAGGAAGAAAGUGUUUGAGUCUUGGUCAGGCACAGGCAUGGCUGAAGGCUGCCCAUGGGACAAACCAUUUACUAUCAUUCUGGACAACUAUGUUUUCUAUACAAAUGCUGAGUUGCUGCCUAAUACAAGACAUAGAAGAGCACUGAAUUUAUGGUGUUCAUAUGAAGCGCCACCAAUGUGUGCAGACAGGUGUGAGGAGGAGACACAGAGGAGUGCCUGCCCUGCAGUUCAGUUCAGUUUCCUCACUGAAAGGAUUUGUCUACCAAAGCACAACUUUAGCAGGGCCUGAUGACAGUAAGUGAUGAUAUUCACUGUGCCAAUUAAUGGGCACUGAGCUGUGGGCUUGGAAGGCCAUGCUAGAAGAACCCAGGGAAACCAAGAACUGAGUCCUCGGCAGUGUGGACAACUGAGAGCCUCUCUAAAAGCCCCUAGGAUGGCCAUAAAGAAAGUGUCCAGCCUGCUCCCUCCUCAGUGGGGCCGGCAGCCCUUCCAAGCUGUGUGACAAGGCAAAUGAGUGGAGCAGGAAGUCUCCCAAAAAGGGACUGAGGCUGGGAGAGGGUGAGCUGGAUGCGUUGAGCAAGCUAGCAGAACUGCUGCUCUGUGAGCUCAGUGGCUGCCCCAGCCUCAUCAGGAAAAAGAGCAGAUUUAGCAUCCUGGGAACGCACAUAGCUGGCAGGAUCACACUCUGCCAGUCCUGAAGACAGCGCUAAGCUGCAGGGCUGCAGUGCUGUGGCACUGGGCACUUGUAAACUUUGCCCUUCCUCAGCUUGAGAAGGGAAAAGCUUACAAGUGCUCCCUGGGGGGCUCUGAACACCUCUGCCAGCACAGCACAUGAAAACUGGUUUCUGCACAGGGACUGGAGUUACUAUGAGCACCUCUCACCACCCCUCAGCCCUCUUGCCCCACUCCCCUCUGAGCAUCCUUUGAUGGUGAGGUUUGAGAGACACCGAGAGCUAACUCUUUCCACCUGGCACCCAAAUUCCAAUCUCCUCCGAUCAGGCUUUGCCUUUCUUCCCUUUCUGUCCCUCCAUCCUCCUCCUUUGGUAACUGACCUAAUGGGGCCACACCAGCUCUUGCAAUGUGCCAGUAUGAAAAUGAGCUCCUAACACGGAGUUCCUUGUGACCGUGGAAAGCUGCCCAGCAUUUUAAUCUGUGCCAGGCCCCUAGGCAGAAGUGGAGCAGGCUCAGCUAAUGCCGAAGGGAAAUGAUUAGCAGCUGUAGACUUGCGUCUCAGUGGCAUAGGAUUUGGGAUUCAUUUUCUUAAAAAGUGCAGAGCUGAAAGCUCCAGGGUGAUCCGGGGCCACCGGAAAGCGUUGGAAAAGAAGAAAUUUCCGACCUGCACAAUGUUCAGAAUGCCUGCUUUGUACCAGAAUUUUGCAAAAGGACCUGCAGGAUGUUCUUUAUUUAAAAUGCAGUUAGGGAAGCGAAUGCUGCACAGGCAGACUUAUCUAGAUCUAAGUAGUUGCAAUGUCAACCGCGGUGAAGCCACAGCAGCAUGGUCAAGCAAGCUUGCUCAAGCCCUGACUUGACUUGUCUGGCCUUCCUGGAAGUCUGUCCUGCUGUUACUUCAUCACUGCUAGAGUUUACUUACAGUUGCUAUGCUGCAGUUAAACAUUCUGAUUCUGUGGUAAGCAUGCCCUAAGUGUGAUGGAGCCUGAAAAUUUGGGAAGCAAACUGAGCUCAUGCAACUGAACUGACUCCAAAUAGAAGGGAAUAGAAAACAACAACCCUUCCUUUUCUUCCUGGAUCCCUCAUCUGAGAAAGAAAAUUCUUCUAACAGGCUGGUUAUAGGUCUGUAUCUCCAGCUCUCACAUUCCACUGUUCAAAAGCAGUGCACAAAGGGUAUCUGGCAACACAUUCAAGCACCUGACCUGUGCAGAGGCAUGAAGAUGAAGAUGCAAACUAUUCUGUUACAGAAUAUGGCAGAAGUCUCCUUAGCUGGAGGAGAAGUCAUCAUGAGAAGGUAGUUUUAUUUUUCCUGGCUGUUCUCUCCUGGCUUUGUAGGGUCUUUGCCCAUAGGCUGUUUUCCUGAGAGAAGUAGUCAGUGACAUUAAUUUGAUGUCAUUAUAUCCUGUUUUUACUGGCUUCUGGAAAAUAUAGCCCUUGUAAUUAUGAAAGAAAAAAGAGAUGAGCCUUCAGUGACCUGUGAAAAAGCAACAGCAUCCACAGCUAUUUGUGCUCCCCAGCCAUGACAGAACCCUCCCUGCUGCACAGACCCUCCUAGUCCAGCGUCCUACCCCUCACACUGAGACAAGGACAGAAAAAGGUGACCAAGUAUCUCCUGGUGCUUCACCACCAGCUCAUAGCCAAUGCAGGCAAUGGAAAUUCUGUCUUCAUGCUGGGUCCUCUAGGAUUUGUCAGUAGCACAUUAGUUAGCUUUCCAGGUACUCUCCUGCUCUCUUACUUUACUUGUAGGGUGCUGUUAUCACAUCCUUUCCCCUUUUGAAUACAAAGAGGAGGAGAACAUGUCCACCAAAGCAGAGACACACUGGCCAGCCUGCAAUGAUGUCGGUCUGCAAAAUCUGGAAGCCAGCAGCCCGCUUUGCUUAAGGUCUCAGUGAAAUUCUGGAAGCAGCAGCAGAAGCUGAGAAAGCACGUGGCCUUUGUGGAAGACAUCGUGACACAAAUGGGAACCAAUUUGAACAGUUCAGCCUCUUCCCAAAAGGGUCUGGUGGGUCCUGCGAAUUCUGCAGUCUGGCAGCACAGGAAGAACUGUACCAUAAGACAUGACUCGCAUCUGUUGCUUGCAUGUUUCUUAAAACAUAUCAUCUGUGAACAACUCUUCUGUCCAGCUCUGCUUGUCUUGGGUAGCCACACUUUGGGAGAGUGGCUGUGGAUGUGCCAGAGCACGCAAGUGACUAUGUACAAAAGCACUAUACCAAAACAUAAAUUAACAAGAGAUUAAAGGGGAACAGAUGUUGGCUGAUAUUGUCCACUGUGCUUCUGGGAGACAGCCCAGUGCAGCUGCUGUCUGCCCAGGGCUCUGCUAGCUCAGGGCAGAAGGGCUGGGAUUCUUACAGCCGCACUGAUCUUCAGAGCACAGAACUGUGUGUGCUUCAGGUGAUAUCCUUUUCUGCGUGACAGCUUGUUUAAUGGGGUGGACUUUCUGUAACAAUUUCUUUAAAUGGACCCCUGUGACCAAAAAACAUUAGCAUUUAACUGCAGGAUCCUGGGUCCUGCUGAAACUGCAUUCUGGGCUCCACUGAAGUGAACCAUUCAAUCCAUUACAGAGAAGAAGAUCUGAACAACUAGAUCAUUACUCCCAAGCCAAGUUAGGCCACCCAUGAUGCAAAGCUUACCAUCAGAAGAUGGAAUGUUCUGCUGCCCAAAUUAAUUUUUAUCACUUAGUGUGUAAGUCACACUAUUCCUGUUUUUAUAUCUUCUUGCUGCCUUCCUUUUCUUGUCCAUAGCCUUUCUUUCAAUACUGUGUAUAUCCUUGCCUCUCUUAUUCUACACUCUGCUGUACCAACUUACCACUUAAUUAUGUUAUGCAAUAAUAUCCUCCUUGCUCAAUCUCUCUGUUUCCUAAAUCCUCAGGAAUAUGCUGCCACCCCCACUGCCAUCUCUGAAAGAUUUUCCAUUGUGCUUCUGCUAGCUUCUGGAGAACUUGUGCUCCUGUGUCACUUCAUAUAAAAAGGUCCAGUCUUCAGUCAUUUAUGUUUCUUUUCCUGGAGGUUCCUGAUGGAGAGGGAUUUAAAAACUGAUCAAGAAGAAACAGCCCCAAACCAGCUUGUUCUUUUUUGAAUACUCUCACUCAGUAUCUCUAAGGCCUUUUAACUGUUUACUUAUCUCUCCCAUCCACAGUUUCCCACCACUGGAAGCUAUUGUCCAUCUAAUGCAGAGCAGAACAUGCCUGUAAGCUCAGACUAAAUCCAAACCAUUACUUGUAAUGUUCCUACCACUAAAGCAUCCUCAAAUAGCUGUGAAAUCCCAGAGAUUUAAGCCCUUAAUGGCAGAAACUAGCUUCUAGAUUUUUAUUUGCAUAUAAAGACUCACUCAUACAUGUUUUAUUACUGUGAAACUGCAGCUGUAACCCUGGAGUGGAGCUCAUUGCCUUUCAGCUUGUGACGGCACUUUUCCCACAAGCAUAUCCCAGGUCCUGCCUUCCCCAUCUCCUGUAUACUCAGAACUGAAGAUGGGAUCACCUUUGCUGGUGCACGUCUGGGCUGUCUUUCGUCCUGCCUUGCUGCAUGCUCCAGUCUGCUGCACUCACAGGGCUUUGCUGAAAGCAAAUGGAUGGGGCCAUGGAUCCCCUGCAGAGCCUCCUUAACAAUUUGCCAUGCUCCCCUGCUCAUAGCUGGUCUUCCCAGCACCCAGUGCCACAAAUAGUACUUUUCGUGAGUCUCCCCUGAUACAGCAUCAUGGGUUACCAGAUACUUGCAAAAAAAGAACAUCUUUCUCAGCAGGUGUCCUGAGCCUCCCAGGAAGUGUUUGCUGUUCUCUGUUUGCAGGUCUCCUCUCAUUUAUCAGGCCAUCCAGGUCACUCAUCACUUCCUGAUGUUAAUGCUGGAAGAUAGGGCUACUGAGUGCAAGAGUGGCAAAGCUGUCAUGCUCCAGCUGGGCAAAAGUGGAGCCUCACUCAGUAAAUAUUGACACGUCUGCAAGCAAACAGAAGGCAGCUUUCAGCAAGCAGCUCUCUGGCUCCCUGAACAGAGGCUGGACCAGAGAUGCUCAGUGCUUUGUGGUUAUGAGCUGAUGUUUACCGAGUGCAGGAUGCAGGCACGGAUCUCCAGCAGCUGUGAUGACAGUGGCAAAAUCACAGGCUUGCAGGAGUCACCAGCAGUGUGCCUACUGCCCACCUGUACUACAAGUGGCUGCAACCACUUCAGCCUCUGGAAAAUCAAGCUGUCUCUGUCACUCCUCAGCAACUUCCAGUCAAGAUUUCUUCAAGAAAAUAUUCCAGACAUUCUCUAUUAAAAACGGUUAGCACAAAACAGAGUUUUGCUCCAAGUCUUGAGUUCCCCUGACUGCCAGUUCUAAAACACUGCCUUUGAUAUUUAGGUGGUUAUUGUCCCUCCUGCGGGUUGUUAGAUGUAAAGAAGUCACAAGUACGAGUGCAUAUAAACACAGAAGUCAUCAGAAUGAGUCCUUCUCAUGGAUCCAUGAAUUCAAAUAGCCAGUCAUUCACAGAAUCAAUUCUUCCUGGAAUUCCAAAAUGUAGUUCUUAUACAGAUUAGCGUACACUGUAAAAUAGGAGUUUGAUGUCUCCUUUCAGACUGCUCCCGGCAAGCUAAAGGACCACACUCCCUGGACAGGUGGAGCAGAGCCCUUUUCACAAAGAAGAGAUGGGAUUGCAAGGAAGGGGUCUUGAUGGAUUGGGUUCACUUCCUGGCCCACGCUCUAUGACUUUGAGCAAGUUAUUUGAUCUCUUAAUGCUUUAGCUCCUAUCCAUGAAAAGGAGGUGAUAAUGAUUUCUCUCUACAGCUCUUUCUUUUACCUACUUAGGCUGAAAGCAACUUGAUUUUUUUUCCCCUGUGUUCCUGUGUUUUCUGUUUGUUUGUAUUCCUAGUAUGUAGGUUGUUCUGAAAGUAAUGUCUUC